GAGUUUGAUCCUGGCUCAGGACGAACGCUGGCGGCGUGCUUAACACAUGCAAGUCGAACGAGAAUCUACUGAAAGAGUUUUCGGACAAUGGAAGUAGAGGAAAGUGGCGGACGGGUGAGUAACGCGUGAGGAACCUGCCUUGAAGAGGGGACAACAGUUGGAAACGACUGCUAAUACCGCAUGAUGCAUAAGGGUCGCAUGAUUCUUAUGCCAAAGAUUUAUCGCUUCAAGAUGGCCUCGCGUCUGAUUAGCUAGUUGGCGGGGUAACGGCCCACCAAGGCGACGAUCAGUAGCCGGACUGAGAGGUUGAACGGCCACAUUGGGACUGAGAUACGGCCCAGACUCCUACGGGAGGCAGCAGUGGGGAAUAUUGGGCAAUGGGCGCAAGCCUGACCCAGCAACGCCGCGUGAAGGAAGAAGGCUUUCGGUAUGUAAACUUCUAUCAGCAGGGAAGAAAAUGACGGUACCUGACUAAGAAGCCCGGCUAACUACGUGCCAGCCGCCGCCGUAAG
rnacentral:rRNA from 1 species